CCCUACGGGACGCAGCAGUGAGGAAUAUUGGUCAAUGGGCGCGAGCCUGAACCAGCCAAGUAGCGUGAAGGAUGACGGCCCUAUGGGUUGUAAACUUCUUUUAUAUGGGAAUAAAGUUUGGUAUGCAUACCAUUUUGUAUGUACCAUAUGAAUAAGGAUCGGCUAACUCCGUGCCAGCAGCCGCGGUAAUACGGAGGAUCCGAGCGUUGUCCGGAUUUAUUGGGUUUAAAGGGAGCGUAGGUGGAUUGUUAAGUCAGUUGUGAAAGUUUGCGGCUCAACCGUAAAAUUGCAGUUGAAACUGGCAG
rnacentral:rRNA from 1 species